GAUGAACGCUGGCGGCGUGCUUAACACAUGCAAGUCGAACGAUGAAGCCCAGCUUGCUGGGUGGAUUAGUGGCGAACGGGUGGGUAACACGUGAGUAACCUGCCCUUGACUCUGGGAUAAGCCUGGGAAACUGGGUCUAAUACUGGAUAUGACUUCUCAUCGCAUGGUGGGGGGUGGAAAGAUUUAUUGGUCUUGGAUGGACUCGCGGCCUAUCAGCUUGUUGGUGAGGUAAUGGCUCACCAAGGCGACGACGGGUAGCCGGCCUGAGAGGGUGACCGGCCACACUGGGACUGAGACACGGCCCAGACUCCUACGGGAGGCAGCAGUGGGGAAUAUUGCACAAUGGGCGCAAGCCUGAUGCAGCGACGCCGCGUGAGGGAUGACGGCCUUCGGGUUGUAAACCUCUUUCAGUAGGGAAGAAGCGAGAGUGACGGUACCUGCAGAAGAAGCGCCGGCUAACUACGU
rnacentral:rRNA from 1 species